AUUGAACGCUGGCGGCAUGCUUUACACAUGCAAGUCGAACGGUAACAGGCCGCAAGGUGCUGACGAGUGGCGAACGGGUGAGUAAUGCAUCGGAACGUGCCCAGUCGUGGGGGAUAACUACUCGAAAGAGUAGCUAAUACCGCAUACGAUCUAUGGAUGAAAGCGGGGGACCGGAAGGCCUCGCGCGAUUGGAGCGGCCGAUGUCAGAUUAGGUAGUUGGUGGGGUAAAGGCUCACCAAGCCAACGAUCUAUAGCUGGUCUGAGAGGACAACCAGCCACACUGGGACUGAGACACGGCCCAGACUCCUACGGGAGGCAGCAGUGGGGAAUUUUGGACAAAGGGCGCAAGCCUGAUCCAGCAAUGCCGCGUGCAGGAAGAAGGCCUUCGGGUUGUAAACUGCUUUUGUACGGAACGAAACGGCUCUGGUUAAUACCCGGGGCUAAUGACGGUACCGUAAGAAUAAGCACCGGCUAACUACGUG
rnacentral:rRNA from 1 species